UACGUAGGGGGCAAGCGUUGUCCGGAAUCAUUGGGCGUAAAGAGCGUGUAGGCGGCUCGAUAAGUCCGCUCUGAAAGCCCGGGGCUCAACCCCGGGAGGCGGGCGGAUACUGUCGAGCUAGAGUCCGGAAGAGGCGAGUGGAAUUCCUGGUGUAGCGGUGAAAUGCGCAGAUAUCAGGAGGAACACCUGUGGUGUAGACAGCUUACUGGACCACUUCUGACGCUGAGACACGAAAGCGUGGGUAGCAAACAGG
rnacentral:rRNA from 1 species